CACAGAUGAGGACACCGAGGUCCAGAGGCAGGGCAUCCUGUCCACCCUGGAUACUCCCUGUCAAUCAUCAGAGCGGCUCCCCUCAGCCCCUGCUCACCCCAUCCUGCCGUGUUUAUGAUGGCAGUGGUGGGAUCAUCCGGACCCCACCUCCCUGUGGGGGGGCUCACCCUGGCCUGAGGAAGGAGGGGCUGGGCCUCAGGCGCAGGGAAGAGGCCCUGGGACUGCCAUGUCCCAGGUCACACACCCCCAUCCCCGGGGCACAGAGGUUUCAUCUGGUUAUUUAUGGAGCCGCCACUCUGUGCCAGAGCCUGCCCAAGACACGGUUUCUGCCUUUGAAGACACGCAUGGGAAGAGUGACCUCCAGCCAAAUUGGACCCAGAAGAAGGGGUGGAUCCUGGAAGCUGGAGCAGAGGCGGCAUCGCCAAUCAGGAACCCAUGGGGGAGGGUCUCCAGGACCACCCAAGAGGCCCAACCUCAGCUCACAGCCGUGUCUAUCCAAGGAGACCUGGCGCCUCACCUCCCCUGCCAAAAUAAAACCUUCCUUGCUUCCCCGGGCAGGCCCAGCCCUGGAGGGGCAAGAGCAACACCCAGCAAGAGGGAGGGGACAGAGGAGAAACUGGAUGCACCCCUCCUCCCCUGACUCCUGGACUACACGGAGCUGAGCUGAGCUGAGCUGAGCUGAGCUGGCGGAGGAGGGAGCUCCAAAUUCUAACAGUCUCAAAUUUAAUAUAAGACUUGCCUGGACUUUGCAUUACCCAAAGUGCCUGGAAAAUGACGUGAAAUAGCUGCAGUUCCUUGCAAGGGGGGAGAGUGAAUCUGCCAGGCAGGAGUGAAGUAGGG
rnacentral:lncRNA from 1 species